AGUGAACGCUGGCGGCGUGCCUAAUACAUGCAAGUCGAACGGAGAUUAAGUAGCUUGCUAUUUAAUCUUAGUGGCGCACGGGUGAGUAAUAUAUAGCUAACUUGCCCAUUACUAAGGGACAACAGUUGGAAACGACUGCUAAUACCUUAUACUCCGUAUCUAUAUAAGUAGAUACGGGAAAGUUUUUCGGUAAUGGAUAGGGCUAUAUCGUAUCAGCUAGUUGGUAAGGUAAUGGCUUACCAAGGCUAUGACGCGUAACUGGUCUGAGAGGAUGAUCAGUCACACUGGAACUGAGACACGGGCCAGACUCCUACGGGAGGCAGCAGUAGGGAAUAUUGCUCAAUGGGGGAAACCCUGAAGCAGCAACGCCGCGUGGAGGAGGACACUUUUCGGAGCGUAAACUCCUUUUCUUGGGAAAGAAUUAUGACGGUACCCAAGGAAUAAGCACCGGCUAACUCCGUG
rnacentral:rRNA from 1 species